UUCCCUCAGAGCGGACCACCGAGAGCCCAGGCCAAGGCCGAAAUGGCCGAGCCUUCCUCUGCAUCUGGGCAGCCUGUGAUGCACCAGGUCAGGCAUGGCGGGAAUGGGAGGACUUCUGCAUACUGCAUUCUUCACUCUUAAAAAAGCAGGCAUCGGCCAGGCGCGGUGGCUCACGCCUGUAAUCCCAGCACUUUGGGAGGCUGAGGCGGGUGGAUCAUGAGGUCAGGAGAUCGAGACCAUCCUGGCUAACAAGACAUGAAAACCCCUCAUGGACCAUUCCGGAGCCAUGCCAGAAAAUUACCCUUGCUAAUUACAAUGAAAUAAAGAGUACUUCUGUGCCAAGCAG
rnacentral:lncRNA from 1 species